AGAGUUUGAUCCUGGCUCAGGAUGAACGCUGGCGGCGUGCCUAACACAUGCAAGUCGAACGAGGUAUUUUGAUUGAAGUUUUCGGAUGGAUUUCAAGAUACCGAGUGGCGGACGGGUGAGUAACGCGUGGGUAACCUGCCUCAUACAGGGGGAUAACAGUUAGAAAUGACUGCUAAUACCGCAUAAGCGCACAGUACCGCAUGGUACGGUGUGAAAAACUCCGGUGGUAUGAGAUGGACCCGCGUCUGAUUAGCUAGUUGGUGAGGUAACGGCCCACCAAGGCGACGAUCAGUAGCCGACCUGAGAGGGUGACCGGCCACAUUGGGACUGAGACACGGCCCAAACUCCUACGGGAGGCAGCAGUGGGGAAUAUUGCACAAUGGGGGAAACCCUGAUGCAGCGACGCCGCGUGAGCGAAGAAGUAUUUCGGUAUGUAAAGCUCUAUCAGCAGGGAAGAAAAUGACGGUACCUGACUAAGAAGCACCGGCUAAAUACGUGCCAGCAGCCGCGGUAAUACGUAUGGUGCAAGCGUUAUCCGGAUUUACUGGGUGUAAAGGGAGCGUAGACGGUUGUGUAAGUCUGAUGUGAAAGCCCGGGGCUCAACCCCGGGACUGCAUUGGAAACUAUGUAACUAGAGUGUCGGAGAGGUAAGCGGAAUUCCUAGUGUAGCGGUGAAAUGCGUAGAUAUUAGGAGGAACACCAGUGGCGAAGGCGGCUUACUGGACAGUAACUGACGUUGAGGCUCGAAAGCGUGGGGAGCAAACAGGAUUAGAUACCCUGGUAGUCCACGCC
rnacentral:rRNA from 1 species